CCUACGGGCGGCUGCAGUGGGGAAUAUUGGACAAUGGGGGCAACCCUGAUCCAGCCAUGCCGCGUGUGUGAAGAAGGCCCUCGGGUUGUAAAGCACUUUCAGUGAGGAAGAACGCCUGGUGGUUAAUACCCAUCAGGAAAGACAUCACUCACAGAAGAAGCACCGGCUAACUCCGUGCCAGCAGCCGCGGUAAUACGGAGGGUGCGAGCGUUAAUCGGAAUUACUGGGCGUAAAGCGCGCGUAGGUGGCUUGAUAAGCCGGUUGUGAAAGCCCCGGGCUCAACCUGGGAACGGCAUCCGGAACUGUCAAGCUAGAGUGCAGGAGAGGAAGGUAGAAUUCCCGGUGUAGCGGUGAAAUGCGUAGAGAUCGGGAGGAAUACCAGUGGCGAAGGCAGCCUUCUGGACUGACACUGACACUGAGGUGCGAAAGCGUGGGUAGCAAACAGGAUUAGAUACCCGAGUAGUC
rnacentral:rRNA from 1 species